rnacentral:misc_RNA from 1 species
CAGGACUCGCAAGACUCCUACAACCCUGUGAACUUAACUAUAAGCACGUUGCUUCGGCGGGUGUCUCGGCGAGGGUCCUCCCUCCCCGGGGCGCUAAGCCCGCCGACAGCCUACUAUACUCUGUCUCUUUGCGUUGGCAUCUCGAGUACAAUCAAACAAGUUA